AGUGUCAGCUCGGGUAACAAAAGCAACAACAGGGUCGAGGGAUUUCCUGUUUCAUAUUCAAGAUUUGAAGAGUGGGUGCGAAGAUUCAUCAGUGCCCUCUUACACAUCUGUGGCUGUCCUACAGCUCUAACACUCAGCAUGGACUGCAGUUACCCAAUUCUGGAACUUGGGAAGUCACAGCCCCUAACACAGCGGAGCAGUGGAGGAGGAACAACACUGCUGCCUUUUCAAUAAGAACAGCUGCAUGGCUCUCGAAGUAACAGAUUGAGUAAAGAAUACUUCAGCAAGUGCAUUAGGCACUGUUUUUUGUCACCAGCACUUAGCCAAUAAACUAAGUGGACUGAAGGAAUCCAGUAGUGUUCAUCUACCCAACCCCAGGGUGAGUUUUGUUGGCUCUCCUUUAGUAUCUUUCCCAAACUUCUCACCUGUUUAACUUCUUCAGCAUUUUGUUUUGCAGAAAUGAUUUUUUCUUCUAUGUUGCCCACAUUUUCUGAAUUUGUAGCAGCCUUUUGCUUAAGGUCUUCAACACUCCUCUCAAGCGCAAACAGACGUAAAGUGGCAUUGUUCAGUGUUUCUUCAGAUGCUGCAUUUUCAGAUUGAAUCUAACAGAGAUAGGGACAAUGAUACACUUUCAAAAGACUCUGAAUAUGAUACAAGCUUUCUGAGUGAGUUCUGAUCAACCCAUUAGGUCACAGCAAUAGAUCUGAUACUUAACGUGUUUCAUUUUGUUAAAAAUGUACAAUUGCAAUUGGGGUGAAAGAGCCCGCUGCUGUAAGGUGACCUACAGUGAGGUCUUCAGAAGUGUUAGGGAGCUUCAUUAAGAAAGCCUUGAUUGCAUUAUACGUUCGAAAGUUGCUCAAUCUGCAAACAGUCAUUAUCAAAGGAUAGCGCUAAAUGUCUGAAGUUGUCCAUCUCUUAAGCUGGCCAAACUGAAGGGGUAGAGUUAGCACUAUGGUCUCAUGAGAAUUAUGAGUUAAAGCCUGAAAAUACAUCAUCUGUCACAAUUACAGCAAUUACCACUUCUAUCUAUCAUCAGUUUUCUCCUGCUGCAGUGAAUGGCACUGCUAGAUAGCGCUGUUAUGCCAAUACACUGCUGCCAAGGGACUGAUAUGUAUGACUUCAUAGAGACCUUGGCACACCUGCUAUGAUCCUACUCAUGUAACUUCAGUGGUGCACGAUAUGGGGUGAGAAAAGCCUUUUUUCUUGAAGAGCAUGUAGGCCUCUAGUUAUGUCAUAUUCUGACUCAGAUGUUUAUAUAAUAAAGGCCAGAAUAGUUUAGACUCAUUUUAAGUGUAGCCUUCCUCAGACAUCCUUAUGUUGGUUUCUGAAUAUCAGAUGUAUUCCUGUUUCUGCAUCUUAAAGAGUACUUGGAAAUAACUUACUGAGGUCAGCAGGUCUUGAGUUCCUUUAAUAUCUUCAUCAGCUUGUUUUAUGGCUUUUUCAGCUGCAUCUUGAGCCUUUUCAGCUUCUUCUAGUGCUGCUUUCACCAUGUCUGCAGUGACUUUAACGUCUGUUGCACCUUUGCUGUGGAGCAAAACUAGGUUAGCAAUAAAAGUGCUUUUACUUUGCAAUGGUCAUACACUGCAAAGGGCUAUUUUUGCCUGAUAGUGAAGGAAAGGGGUAUCUGCUUUGUGGUAAGGUAAACUGCGUUCCCUGGAAGAGUGAAAUGGAAGUCUCAUUCCAGUUCUCAGUGACUGUAAAUACCUAAUACAAAAUGAGGUUGCAUACCUUGCUUUCUUAGCUUCCUCCAGUAGCAUUUCUGCUCUGGCAAUGUCUCCAGCACUCUGCUGCAGAAUGACCUCGACAUCAGAAAGGCUUUCCACGCGUUCACGGAUGUCUUCUGUUAGGGCUUGCAGCUGCUCGGGGGUGCUGGGCAUCUCCAUGUUCAGCACUUCAUUAGCCACUGCCUCAAUGCUGUCCAGGUCAGCGCUGUCUUCUACAGAUGGGCAGAAAUGACACAAGGGUGAGUCAAAGCUUUCUGCUGUCAGCUCUCAGUAUUCAACAUUCUUGUCCACCUGCUCCCUCAAGAAGCAAAAUCAUGGAAAAAACUUUCUUCUCCAGACUGCAGCACAUCAGGGUAUUAAAACUGUUUCCUUAGGGUGACACUUCUCUCUAAGGAGAGGCCCAGCAGGCACGAAAGCCCUGCUAGCAUCAUUCUCUUGGAAGCCUUUUGCUGAUCUCAGUGAUUAACUACCCCAUGCUGGGGCUGGGGUGGGCUGUGAGCCCAGAGGAAGGGAAGCCAACAGCUGCACAUAAAUGUAUUUGUGCUAACAGUAUUCUCAGAGAAGGAGUGGGUUUGCCAUGCUGCCACUCAACAACGAAAAGGGCCCUCAUUUAACCUUUACCUGUUUUCUUGCAUGGAGAUAACCUCACAGUUUCUAACUGUGAUUGUCCUCCCCUUUAACAGCACUGUGCCAUUCUGGCCAGAAUUUAGGAACAGACUUGGCAAGUUAGAGAAGUACAAUGGACCCAGCUGAAAGGAACGAAACAAUGGACUACAGAUCAGCCUUUCUUUCCAAUUGUCUUGGUUUUCUCAUUCCCAGAUUUCAUCAUACCCACUAAAUCUGGCUGAAAAGAGCCAGGGGAGGAUGAUGACUAUUAUGUUACCCCCUGGAGAAUGAUGCCAAAAAAGAGUUUUCACAGAUGCAGAGGUAAAAGAGAGAACGUGAGUUUAAGGUUUUUACGCAUGAGGAAGUCUCUGAUCUGCUUAAUAAGAUUUCUCAGAUCUUCAUUGCUUCUGUCCACUUGUUCUUUUGUAGCGUUGGUUUUGAGCAGAACUUCUUGUGCAUUCUGUUUGGCUUCAUCAGCUCUCUGCUUUGCUUCAGAAACCUGAAGAGAAGAAAGUAGAGGGCUUGACUGCAUAUUUGCGUAUGCUUUCAGGCCUGAUUUACAACAAAAAUUCAGUUGGAGUCAGAGGUAACAGUAAUGAGAAAUGCCUCUUCUCAUAAAACUCACAGAACACUUUUAAAAGCUGGCUGUGAUCCACACCACCAAUGCUAGUUUAAACAACUCCUGCUCAUGUUUGGAGUAACGCAUGAAACUUGACUUGAGCAAGCUGAAGUCUGAGUAUCUUCACAAGUUUGAUGUUACGCAACUAGAAAGGAGGAUUGUGAAGUAAGCCAGGCACAUACUUUGCCAGUUAGUGUCUAAACUUGGGUUACCACUAAGAUUUCUUUUUUCUUUUUUAUUGCAACAAUGGAUUUAUGGAUUACCAUUCUGGAGAGUUGCUCAACUUCUGCCAACGCACUGAGGAUGUCUCUGUCGAAGUCCAUGGCCUUCUGCCACGCGGUGUGAGCGACAGUGACCAGCCCAUCACAGCCAGGUCCUCCACACUUUCUCUGCCCUGCAGCAGUCCGGCAGUGCAGUCCUCCACACUCCGACUCAGCACAAGAGGCUCCCACUGGAGUGCCACACAUCUGGGAAUGAGACAAGGGCAGUGAUCACAGCCUGUAUUUUUAUUGCUGAGCUGUGAGGGGGAUGGCAUCCUAAAUACCACAGCACAACUUGAGACGUUUGACCAUCUUUAUGGGUCCCUCCCAACUUGGGAUAUUCGAUGAUAGCAAAUGAUGCUGAAGCAGAGCAGACGGUUCCUGCAUCAGGUCCAUACCAGCAUGAUGGUAGUCCUUCUAUGACCUUUCCACAACUCCCUGCCUUUAACUUGAUUGCAACAAGCCAGCUCCCAGCUGCUGGAGUAGCUUGAGGGCAGCUGUGCCUUCAUUGUCUGCUUUUCCUGACUGUCAGCUUCACCAGAAAGCUGCCUUUAGGCUCUGGUUUACAAGCUGGAAGCUACUACUGCCUGUAUUCCUUCUGUUGGAAGCCAGUCUUGUUACUGUUGGAGGAAACACUAGCUAACCCAAGCAGCUUUUUUAAAAAAGAAGAAUAUGUUCUGCACAAGAUAAGCUCUUUUCCUUUGCUGCCUGGGGGAGAGCAAAGGAAAACAAAUAAAAUACUGAACAGGAAACUUCUUCACCUCUCUUGAAAAACUGUCCCCUUCCCUUCCAUCGAAUGUUUGUUCUGUCACACUGCUUUCCAAUUUGUGACAAUGAAAUCGGAAGAGACCAACUUUGUUGCUGCUUUUUUUUUAAGUAAAACUACUUUAAUUGGCAAUUUUUACUGAGCUUAUCCACUGUUGUGGUCAACUGGACAAUGAAAUCAUUAGAAGUUGUUUUAGCCAGAUGGAAAAUCCUUUCCUCCUGUGAGGUUCUUUUCGCUUUCCACCCCGCUCCUUAUGCCAAAGGAUAGUCACUAGCUGAUGUACUUUAAGCCAAGAAUCUCUCUGGGAACACCAAGGGGCUGUGCCAAGUUAGCUGCAGCUGGCUCCUGUGAAGUGUAAUGGAUUCCCUCUUACCUGCUUGGCACACAACCCAGCAGUAGCUAGAAAGCAAAAAGAUUUUGUUUCUGCAUCCCAUGAUUACACCUCCAAGCAACUAACUCAGUGUUUACUGCUCUGAUAACAUCUAACCAAGAUUUUCGGUCCUCAAGAACACAUUAGGCAGGAAUGCAGGGGCAGGGAAACUAAACAAAAAGAUGCCUCUUUCUUCUCUCCCCAAGAAAAAGGAGACAGAGGACUGGGGUGGGUGGUUGUCAUUGUAAAGGACCGGGGACAAUUCACUGUGUGAAGACCUCAUCCUCUCCCGCAGGCCCAGCCUUGCCCAGAGGAGUUAAUGAGCUCUCCCUUCUGUGGAACUUCAAGUGGGAUUGUUCUCUGAAUGCAAUCGGCUGCCUUCAAAGGGAAGCUGAAGGAACACCCUGCCUCGCCCCCAGAGAAAACCACCCUUGAUCGUAUUUACAGAUGAGCAGGCAGCUUCAACAGGGACCGUGCCCUUUUGACUCCAGCUCCCUUUAAAUUCUGCCUUGUUUCAAGCAGAAGGAUGGGAGUGUGGCAAUACCAAGGAGGGCAGCGUGAGCAUGAGCGCCGCACAGGUAUGGGACUCUGAAAUGCUGCAAGAACAAAGCAGCCCAGGAAAAGCAAGCAUGUUAACUGAGAUUUAAGAGGUCGGCUCUCGGUCCAGUGGACUCACUAAAUUUUGCUGCACUUGAGAGCUCUGCCCACAGCAAAGGAAUUUGGCUUAGGAUGUGAUGAAGAGGUGCUGUCAGGGCUCAGUUUCUAGAAGCAACAGGGAGAACAACAUGAAGGGCUGAUGCCUGAAAACCUGUAGGUGUCUCGGAGCCCGCACAUCAUCAAUGAAGUGUGCUUUUUUGUAGGAACAAACUGUAUUUCCUACUGUCCAGCUCUAAACAGCUUCUCCCUGCCUGUUGCUUCUUCACAAACCCAACUUUUUGCUGUAGGUUUUAUCCCAGCAAUUCUCAGCCAAAUACCUUUGCUGAUGCUUCGGCGAGAUCCAGGCUCUGCAGCUUGCCAGCGAGUUCAUCCAGGAGGCGCGACUGCUCCUCUUGCUUAGCCUUGAACUGGGCCUCCUUCUCAUUGAUUAAGUCUUCCACUUCCUGCCGUGUCUGCGCUGACAGCUCCACGGCGCUGUCGGGGUGGACAGUGGAAGCAUUGACCCUUUCCUCUGCCUCCAGGGACAUCUGGAAAUACUUGGUGAUGCUGUCCAAGGCUCCUGCAGAAAUCAGACAGAGCCGCUCAGAAAUCUGUUAAGUAACACCGAGUAAUUUAAAUCGCGGAGGCUGGCGGAUGGCACAUCUGGGUUAGCAUCAAGACAAAGCAAACAACAGCCUCUUUAGCUGCACUCCAUGCAAUUGUAAGGAUGACAAAAUUUGUUCUGUUGUUUGAAUACUCAGGUUUUUUUUGGUUGAAAAUGUGUCAGGUUUGCUGGUUUUCAAGUUAAGCGGUUCUCUGACACAGGAACUGAAUUAACUCUGCCAGGAGGGUGAAUGGAGACUCAACCUUUUAGGUUCAUAGGGCAAAGUUCCAUUUUCUAAGGAUCUGCAUACGCCGUUGGUUCUUGUUGCCACAUGGAUGUCUGGUGUAUGGAGUCACUGCUUGGAAGCUGGUCAGAGCUCUCCCAAGAAACAACUUCCUGAUGAAAGACUGAUUUAUGGAAGUGCUCAUUUUGGACAACUGGUGGAGAGGCCCUGGGAGGGCGCAAGGGACCCCACAGGAGCAGCCACACUCUCCUCCACAAGUCAGGGACUCCCCAGUUCCUACAACCUUUUUGCCUCAUUCUGUGAAACCCUACAUUCAUUGGAAACAACCUCAGACUUCCUGCAAAGCAGGAAAUUAAUUAAUAAAUACUAUACUUUAAGUCGGAA